UGCAAAAAGGAAUUUUCUCUCUUUUGAAUUCAGAUGUCAUUGAUGUAAAUUCAAUGUAAAAAAGGGAUGAUGGUGGGGCUUGGGCAUCUCUAUCAGUGGAUGCAAUUUUUUAUCAUCUUUGAGAGCUUGAAUAAAUAUUGCAGAGAGCGUUUUUGUCAAAUAAGGAGUUGGUGCCUCCACUAUUAGGGCUUCAAAAUGUUAACAUUCUGGAAAUCCUUACAAUCAUCAAUUUCUCUAGUUUUGCAACUUAAUCAAACUAGAAGACAGUCUGGCAUCUCUUAAUGAGCUUGAAAAUGCUGUUGGCCUUGAAUUGCAAUCACUGCCAGAAGGGAUGUGUCACUCAACACUUCAAUUUUCCCAAAAUUGAUAUUGACUAGCAAUGGUACCUGAUUCAUAUAGGAUUUUUGUUCUUUAAUUGAAGCAUGUCAUUGACAAUAUAUUUCAGAUGUAAUUGUUGUCAAUUGAAUGUACAAGGGAUAAAGGUGGAGCUUGGACAUCUCUACGAGGGGAUUCAAUAUUUCAUCACCUUUUAUACCUUGAAUAAAUGUUGCAGUGAGCUUCUUUUGUUAGAUAAUGAAGAUGAAGCUUGAGUUGGUGUCUCCGGUAUUGGGGCCUGGAAAUGUUACCAACACAACCACCUCCUUCAUUUCCUUAUCUUUCACAAUUAGAUAUCGAGUAUUGUAAGGAGUUAGCGUCCUUGGAACUGCAUUCAUCUCCUCUUCUUUCUAGUUUAAAGAUCUCGCAAUGCCCUGAGCUCACAGUCUUUUUUCUAUUUUAGACAUCCUUGCAAGUGUCUUUGUUACCUUGUCUUAAGAAAUUGCUACUGUCUACAGUGAGAGAAGAGGUAUUGUGGCAGUUAAUACUUGUUAUUGAUUCUCCAUUGGAGUCUUUGUCCAUAUAGAAGAUAUGUGAUUUUGAUAUUUCUUCUAGAUGAGCUGCGUCGACAUGUUUCAACUCUUCAACGUCUCUCAAUUUACAACUAUUGUGGUUUGACAGCAUUACCACAUUGGAUUGGCAGUCUCACCUCAGUUGCACACCUUAAUAUAUAAAAUUAUGAGCACCUUGCAGAAAGAUGUCGAAGGGAACUGGCCCAAGAUUGAUUAUAUCCUAUAAAUUAACAUGUACCUGCAUUAGUGAAGAGUGAACUUAUACAGAAUGUCAUUUCAGGUUUCACCUUCCUUAAGAAGCUUUAUGAUUGGCUUAAUGCCUAAAGGGAUGCUAAAAGGGGAUAAGUCUUGGGUUGCCCUAAAGAUUUCACAUCGCCCAUAAAAACAUAUCUACUAGAUGACUAGUGCAGAAAGGACUUUUGCUCUGUUUUCAAUUCAGGUCUGCUAGUGGGCAUGUAUAUUUCUGGCAACUUCUUUUGUCAGAUAAUGGGGAUGAGGUUCACAUGCAAAUUGCAAGGACUCAGAAGCUUGAGUUGGUGCCUCCAUCAUUGAUGCCUCAAAAUGUUACCAUUCUGGAAAUUCUUAAAAUACUGUUCUUGUUUAGCAACUUUAUCAGAUUGGAUAAGCAUCCAAAGAUCUCUUAAUGAGCUACAGAAUGUUGUCUGCCCUGAAUUUGAAUCACUGUGCUCCUCAGUUUUUCAAUGUUUCCAGAAUUGAUACUGACCGAUUUCACCUUGUGUAAGAAACUCAUGGUUAUUCAUUGGCCCAAAGGUUUCUUAUAUGCCAUUGCAAAUAAGGAUGAUGAGGAGGAUGGGCUGAAUAUUGCCCAUGCCUUGGAAAAAAGCUAUUGAGGGUUGGUGCAAAGGCUUAUAGCACCUAUGGAGCUUUGAAUUUAUUCUUGCCCUUAUAUCACUGCCAGAAGAGAUUCAUUCCCGUAGCGCCCUACAAAGACUAAUACAGAAAGCUACUUCAGAUUGCACCUUACUUAAGAAGCUUGUGAUUAGUCCUUGGCCCAACGUGAAAUCACUCCCUACAGUAGCCUGUUUGAGCUUGAAAGCACUUCAAGAAGUGUUUUGAAAGGCGCUCUUAGAGGCGCGCUCUAGGGCGAGGCAUCCAGAAAACGCCUUAAGGCGUUGGCACAACAACGUUGAACACAAAAGGAAAUGCCUUUGACGCCUUGCUCACUAAAGCGUGAGCCUUUGGUUUGCUGAGGUGGCUAAUAAAAAAAAAAUAGAAACAACUUACCGUUGAAGACUUUAUAACCCCGCAAACACAUUGAAGACUGAAGAGGGAACAAAGGGAACAAGUUGGGGAAGAAAUGUAACCCUAACCCUAGCUCUUGGUGGUUCGUACCUUCGAUAACUUGAAGAUCAGCUUCUUCUUCGGCAACCUGAAGAUCAGCUUUUUCUUUGACAACCUGAAGAUUGACUUUUUCUUCGGCAACUCGUCUUUCUCACUCCGACGACUUCAUCUCGAUUCUCAAUAGGUAGGUAUUUUCUCUCUGUUGCUCACCCUCUCUUAGUCUCACACAGUCCCAACCUUCUCAUCUCCUCUUCUCUUUCUCUUUGUUUUUCACUCUUUUUGUCCAACUUCUCAUAGUUUCAACGACACUAUUUUUUCUUCUCUGGUUCUUAACCUUUAUUUUUUUUUUCCUCACAACCAUCUCAAAUAAAUCCCUACAACAGCCUUUCUUGACCCUGCAACAACCUUUGUUGACCCUGCAACAACCUUUAUUGCACCCUGAAACAACCUUAAUUGCACCCAGCAACAGCCUUUAUUGCACCUGGCAACAACAUUUAUGCAUGCACAAUGCAAUAAAGUUAAAUGAUGCUGCACCAUUUUUAAAACAAUGCACAACACUAAAAUUUUA